CCUACGGGGUGCUGCAGUGGGGAAUAUUGGACAAUGGGCGAAAGCCUGAUCCAGCCAUGCCGCGUGUGUGAAGAAGGCCUUCGGGUUGUAAAGCACUUUCAGUGGGGAAGAAAGCCUUGGGGCUAAUACCCUCGAGGAAGGACAUCACCCACAGAAGAAGCACCGGCUAACUCCGUGCCAGCAGCCGCGGUAAUACGGAGGGUGCGAGCGUUAAUCGGAAUUACUGGGCGUAAAGCGCGCGUAGGCGGUCUGAUAAGCCGGUUGUGAAAGCCCCGGGCUCAACCUGGGAACGGCAUCCGGAACUGGCAGGGUAGGGGGCAGGAGAGGAAGGUAGAAUUCCCGGUGUAGCGGUGAAAUGCGUAGAGAUCGGGAGGAAUACCAGUGGCGAAGGCGGCCUUCUGGACUGACACUGACGCUGAGGUGCGAAAGCGUGGGUAGCAAACAGGAUUAGAUACCCCAGUAGUC
rnacentral:rRNA from 1 species